CAGGUGGCAGGCGACGCGAGAAAGGAAAGGCGAUGCGCCCUCAGGAAACGGUAGCCAUGCAAGAUGGGUGGAUCUCCAUCAGCAGCAAGCCCUGUCUACUCUGUGGAGUGCAGAUGGUGCACCAGCGCAAGUCCACCAGCAAAUGACGCUUGCUCUAGAUUCACAUCAGUCUCAUCAGGAUCCGCAUGGAGUCAGUUGUGAGCCAGGUGUGACCACCACGGUUGCAAGACCUUGCAUGAGUGAGAAGUGGACUCUGUGCAAGGAGAUCUGCACAAUGCAAAUGCUGUCCUGAUAUGCCACAAGUGAAAAGAGCUCAGCGCCUAGUGAAUAUUGUUGUAGUGGAGAUCUGACAGAAGUUGCCAUAUACUUUAGUUGACUUAUACUCCUGUGGCAGGAUCAGGUAAAAGACUGGGACCCAAGUCGUCAGUGGUUCUGAAUGCCUUAAUGUUUUGAAAUCAUUUUGCCACACCUAGUGAGCCACAAAAAGCUGAAAAAAGCUUUUGUCUUUAUUUACUUGAAUAGGUUAUGGGUCUUCUCACUUUAUUUACUUGCGCCUUCAGUCCCAGCCUGACCACACUGGUUUUGUGCUAAGGGGUGCCUAGAAAAUGUAAAAGCAUUAAGCAAGUAUUAAACAUUUCUUAUUUCUACAGCAAGCCUAUUUUCAAGUGAUAAUUUUAAAUAUCUGUUCUGUUUUGCUCUCCUCUAAAUUUGCAGCAGAAUUCCACACCAAUUAAAACACUGAUUUAUUUAAAAUAUAACUAAUAAGCUUUCUUUGUCCUCUCUCUCCUGCUGGAAAAUCCCACCUGAUCCCUAAUUAACAAAUUGAUUUAUUAAAAGUGUAACUAAUGACCUCCCUUUGUCCUUUUCUUUGAGCUACAGAAUCCCACCUGAUCCCAAAUUAUCACAUUGAUUUAUUUAAAUUAAUACAUGCAUUGCAUAGUUUCUUUAUUUUGCCCCUCACUGUAUGCCUCAGGCAUAUGUUCCAAGUCAAGUGUUGAGGCUCUGAUUUUACCACUCACAGAGCAAAUACUUUAAGAAAAAAAUACAUGUUUAAAAUGCCAGACUGUACCCUUAUGUUUUUAAUUAUUCAAGUGUUCCUACUAUUAAGAUCAAUAUGAAGUCAUGGAUAGUAACUUGCAAGAUGAACCUUGCAGAUCCUAUUCCAACAAAUCACUUAAGCACAUGUUUGUCUUCAAGCCUACUAGCAUGAGUGGAUCUCCGCAGGUCACUGUCACUGAGUAUGUGCAUGAAGUGCUUUGCUAAGUAAGCAGUGCCCUGAAGAGAAACCCCUUGUGUCCAGUGGUGUUUCUGCCACACACAGAAUAGGCAGCCAAGCAGGAUCAGCCAAAAAGAGGGGGAGCAGAGCGGGGCUUGCAUGUCAGUGCUGAUUCACCAUGGUUUGGAUCUCUUGCAAACAGCUUGCAGCAAGUCUUGCACAGUUUGGAAGUAUGUCUGUGCGCGUGUGUAUCAAGAGCUCUCAAAUACCACGCAUCAACAAGAUCUGACCUUGGGCUUACACCGAUUUGAAUAUAUCUGCAGGCAGCAUGAGCCCAUUGCAUCCUGGUAUGUAAACACUGAGGUAGCCUUGGCCCUCUUCCCCAUGGUGUUCUACAAAAACAAGCAGUGGGGUCGCUCGCUGCAGGCAAUGCCUCCAGAAAGAGGGGCUGAAACAUAAUGGGCUGUUUUAGAAGAUGUAAGACUGAAAAACAUGGUCUCUGGCAAUGAAAACAAGAGGUCACAGGUUACAUGGAUUUCCUCUGAGUACUGCACUGCAGUGAGAAGGACAGAGCACUACCGCAGGGUAGUGUGCCAGGCACAGGGCCUCUUCGCAGCAAGGUGCAAGUAGCAGGGCUCCAUCGCUUGCUGAUAGCUGCUCCAGCAUGCAUCUCCUUCUUCCUGUGACCUGGCUUUCCAGCAUUACCUGUUCUCUGUGCAAAAAAAAAAAAAAAAAAAAAAAAAAAAAAAAAAGACAA